GUGAGUCAUCGAAUCUUUGAACGCACCUUGCGCCCCUUGGUAUUCCGAGGGGCACGCCUGUUUGAGUGUCUUGAAAUCAUCGACCGAAGCGGUCUUGUGUCGUCCGAGGUUGGAACUGGAGGCUUUGCUGCUGUUUGCGGCUCCUCUCAAAUGCGUCUGCCGUGCCUCUGGGGCCGUGCUCGCAAUGGGCGUUGUAUUUCCCUCGCUCCGAGUGCCCCUGGACAUGCUGUGUGUGCGGCACCGACCUGCCUCCCGAGCGGCGGUCUGUCAUCAAACCGAAUUCUGACCUCAAAUCAGGCG
rnacentral:misc_RNA from 1 species